rnacentral:rRNA from 1 species
CGAAAGCCUGACGGAGCAAUACCGCGUGAGGGAGGAAGGCUCUUGGGUUGUAAACCUCAAAACUUAGGGAAGAAAAAAAUGACGGUACCUAAUAUAAGCAUCGGCUAACUCCGUGCCAGCAGCCGCGGUAAUACGGAGGAUGCAAGCGUUAUCCGGAAUCAUUGGGCGUAAAGAGUCCGUAGGUGGAACGGAAAGUCUGCUGUCAAAGACAGAAGCUUAACUUCUGAAAGGCGGUGGAAACUGACGGUCUAGAGUUCGGGAGGGGUAGAGGGAAUUCCCAGUGUAGCGGUGAAAUGCGUAGAGAUUGGGAAGAACACCAGUGGCGAAGGCGCUCUACUGGACCGAAACUGACACUGAGGGACGAAAGCUAAGGUAGCG